GCAGCAGUGGGGAAUAUUGCGCAAUGGGGGAAACCCUGACGCAGCGACGCCGCGUGAGCGAUGAAGGCUUUAGGGUCGUAAAGCUCUUUUGUAAGGGAAGAAUGUCGGGGAGGAUAAUACCCUUCUCGAAUGACGGUACCUUACGAAUAAGCCCCGGCUAACUACGUGCCAGCAGCCGCGGUAAGACGUAGGGGGCGAGCGUUGUCCGGAAUUACUGGGCGUAAAGAGCACGUAGGCGGAUAUUUAAGUCAGGUGUGAAAGACCGCAGCUCAACUGCGGGGUUGCACCUGAAACUGGGUAUCUUGAGGGCAGGAGAGGGCAGUGGAAUUCCUGGUGUAGCGGUGAAAUGCGUAGAAAUCAGGAGGAACACCAGUGGCGAAGGCGACUGUCUGGACUGACCCUGACGCUGAGGUGCGAAAGCGUGGGUAGCAAACAGGAUUAGAUACCCUGGUAGUCCACGCCGUAAACGAUGGAUACUAGGUGUAGGAGGUAUCGACCCCUUCUGUGCCGCAGCUAACGCAAUAA
rnacentral:rRNA from 1 species